AGAGUACAUAGGGAUUGGAAACGGGCCGUAGCAACAGGAAAAUGCUAGUUGAUAGUACCGUAAAUAAUUUCUCUAAAUACUCGUAUGUAAAAUUAAAAAUGGCUGAAAGUUGAAGCAGUCUUAUUUUGUGCAGGUAACCCUUCAAUAAUGUUUAGAGACUUUCUUCUUGUUUGCCCAAGCUGUCUGCUGUAGCAAUGUAUCUGUUUGCAGUUUAAAUUCAGUGUUUUAUGAAUUAGCAAUCAUUAUUGAUCACAUUUACUAUAUUUAGUUCUAUUUUUUGUUUUGUACAACCUAUUGAAUAGAAAUGGUGUUGGCGACCUCCGGUGUGUUCUAAGCAA
rnacentral:lncRNA from 1 species